rnacentral:tRNA from 1 species
CCCUGGUGGCAUAAUUGAUAAAUUGCUUGGCUGCUAACCAAGAGGUCGGUGGUUCAAGCUCACCACCUGGUC